CCUACGGGUGGCAGCAGUGAGGAAUAUUGGUCAAUGGGCGAGAGCCUGAACCAGCAAAGUCGCGUGAAGGAUGACGGCCCUACGGGUUGUAAACUUCUUUUGUCAGGGAGCAAUUGGGUCCACGCGUGGGCUUAGCGAGAGUACCUGAAGAAAAAGCAUCGGCUAACUCCGUGCCAGUAGCCGCGGUAAUACGGGGGAUGCGAGCGUUAUCCGGAUUUAUGGGGGUUAAAGGGUGCGUAGGCGGAAUAUCAAGUCAGCGGUAAAAAUUCGGGGUUCAACCCCGUCGUGCCGUUGAAACUGAUGUUCUUGAGUGGGCGAGAGGUAUGCGGAAUGCGUGGUGUAGCGGUGAAAUGCAUAGAUAUCACGCAGAACUCCGAUUGCGAAGGCAGAAUACCGGCGCCCAACUGACGCUGAAGCACGAAAGCGUGGGUAGCGAACAGGAUUAGAUACCCUUGUAGUC
rnacentral:rRNA from 1 species